rnacentral:rRNA from 1 species
ACGGGAGGCAGCAUUCUUUCCUCUUCUUCCCUGGUUUCACCCCUGACCGAGCAACGCCGCGUGAGUGAAGAAGGUUUUCGGAUCGUAAAGCUCUGUUGUAAGAGAAGAACGUGUGUGAGAGUGGAAAGUUCACACAGUGACGGUAACUUACCAGAAAGGGACGGCUAACUACGUGCCAGCAGCCGCGGUAAUACGUAGGUCCCGAGCGUUGUCCGGAUUUAUUGGGCGUAAAGCGAGCGCAGGCGGUUUAAUAAGUCUGAAGUUAAAGGCAGUGGCUUAACCAUUGUUCGCUUUGGAAACUGUUAGACUUGAGUGCAGAAGGGGAGAGUGGAAUUCCAUGUGUAGCGGUGAAAUGCGUAGAUAUAUGGAGGAACACCGGUGGCGAAAGCGGCUCUCUGGUCUGUAACUGACGCUGAGGCUCGAAAGCGUGGGGAGCAAACAGGAUUAGAUACCCUGGUA